GCGGUCCACCUGUGCAAAUGAACAGUUGACCGUCGCAUUGACGCUGAUGCAGCUGCAGGGAAGAAUUUUGAUUUUGAUUUAAUUUCAGCAGCUCAGUAGCGAUUUCAAAAUGAAUCUGCCUUUCCUGUCAUUACUCUUUGUUCCCACACAGAGACAUCUGUGAGAGAUGCCACGGUGCCAAGCCACUUGAAACUUCUCAGCUAUUGCACUAACUAACUAACUGAAGCACCAAUUGGAUCUGAGGGUCAAAGUGAUUUAAACACAACAGAACACAAAGAUUCAGGUCUCUUUUGGAACCUGGAGUAAAUCUACUGUCGUCACUAAAUGAAAGCAUCAGCUCAUGGCACAGAAACCUCGGGCUGCGGCUACUGUGAGGAGUGAACAAUUGUUUUCAAGAGAAAGACAGAAAAUGCAUCUCCCAGCUCUGUGGUAGUCUAUCUAAAAAGAAAAGUGAAUCAAAUAAAAACAAAUCAUCCACCAAACUCGUGAUUCAAGGUCUACGGCCCAUCAAAUCCAAUAUAUGUUGCUCUGAGUCUUAAUAAAUGUAACUUAAACAUUCAGACAAAAACAUGCCACACAUUUUCCUGCAGCAGUAAAAAUGUCGAAAGCUGACACAGUUUCACUAUUAGAUACGGUGUGGAAAAUGUGAAUUCUAGUUGUGCUCUUACCUCUCGGUUGCCAACAUCUCACUCAACUCUUCACAGUCGCUGUCUGACUGUCUGCACUGUGCCAGACACACUUCUGCUUUCUCUACCUUUGUCGUUUCAUCACCACUUCCUGAGUCAUGCCACACAUUGUGAGUGUAUUUUGAGUGGUACGUUACAGUCAUUUAAAAUCAAGGCAGAGGUGAACUUAGUCCAAACUCUUACCUUACUCUCACUGUGUAAAGAUACAGGCAUGCAUGGUCACUACAGAUUGCCAGAACAUUAGUAUUUGUAACUUCUAAGGACAUGAGUUGUAUUUAAGUGUACCCAGAAAUCAGGGGCACCUAACCCCGACCCACUUAAUCAUUCCUUUUUAAAAACAGUGGUUUAACGCUAACAUCAGCAUGCUAACAUGAUCACAACUCCACCGACCCCAAGAGACUAGCUGACGUCCUGGCGUCAGUUACUCUAGAUCAUAAUAAACUAAAGUAAGUGUGAACAUGCUGAUGUUCAACAGGUUUAGUGUCCACCUUAUUAGCACAUUAGCAUGCAGUGGGAUGGUAGUUUUGCAGCUAUUCAAGCCAAGCAUUGGAUCAAUGAAAUGUUUGCAUGAUUUUGGUGCCAGAUGAGGAGUCAGAGGAUCACCAAGGUCAGUAGGAUUCAUCCACUGGGAAGCAUGAAUGUAAUUUCUGCUGCUAGGGGUCUCAAUCAAAACAAAAGAUGUAAGAGGUAUUGCUGAUUUAAAUCUGUCUACGCGACUCAGGCAUGAACAUUCACAGAUAAGGUAACGUUAUAAAGUUUUAUAAAUGUAAUGUUUAGUCACGUUGACUUUCUUCCUCCCUCGUUCUCUCUGGUUUGAGCAAUGUUGGAAAGCUUUUGCAAAACCUAAGGACACAACUCAACAAAAUACAUCACAGAGGUCAACAUAUUAUAUUGUUUGACCAUCCAGUAGUUGUGUUAUCUCAGCCUGGACCACGCUCUGACAGACUAGACAACAAUCAUGUCCCUCUAUGUGGAGAUGGUAUAAACAAAAUUGAAAUAAAAUUUAGGAAACCAUGGUGACUCUCA